GCACCACUCUGUUCUUCUGAAAUUUUACUCGCAGUCGCAGAUCUCCCCAAAGCUUAAAAUGGAGAAUAAGCAAUUGGACGUAUCGCCAGCAAAAGCAGUCUUAUUAGGAGCGCUAGCUCCUGGUGUUAACGGUCCUACAUGGAAUACACUGAAAUCAGCGUUUCUGAUGCUGGGUUCUUGCCUUGCUGUGAUGCUUGGCUUAGCCUUCUCUUCAAGUGACUCUUCUUUGAUACUUCAUGUUGGGUUUCUUGUUCUAAUAGCUGCCACCCUCUUCUUGCUUCUUAGCUGGU
rnacentral:misc_RNA from 1 species